rnacentral:piRNA from 1 species
UGCAUCUGUGAUCUCAAGUCUCUACUGGA